rnacentral:rRNA from 1 species
UCCUACGGGGGGCAGCAGUAGGGAAUAUUGCUCAAUGGGGGAAACCCUGAAGCAGCAACGCCGCGUGGAGGAUGAAGGUUUUCGGAUUGUAAACUUCUUUUCUCAGGGACGAAGCAAGUGACGGUACCUGAGGAAUAAGCCACGGCUAACUACGUGCCAGCAGCCGCGGUAAUACGUAGGUGGCAAGCGUUAUCCGGAUUUACUGGGUGUAAAGGGCGUGUAGGCGGGACUGCAAGUCAGAUGU